UCAGCAGGAGGAUCAUAGAUCCAUUCAGGUCAGCAGGAGGAUCAGCCAAUUAAUUAUACUACUGCGUGAACAUUCUGUAACUGUGUAGGUGGCAGUAAAUCACCAACCUUGUCUUUGUAUCUGUUUAGAUUAAACACACUGCAGCACAGUAUGCAGCUACACUCCAGCACAGUAGGUGGUGGUAUGAUCCUAUUCAGUUUAUUUAUGAAGUGUCACUACAGUCAUAGAAGUAAAGAAAACCCGCAAUGGCUCUGGCCAUGUUGUCACAGAAGUUGAAGAUAGAAGAUGAGCUGUCUAGUACAUCUCUAUGUAUGGGGUGAGAGGCUAACCUUGUUAUUGUUUCUUUCCCUACACACCCAAUUUGAUGGAUGUGACACCUCUGUCUAAGGCCAACCACGCUGGAGGACCACUCGAUGCAAUGCCAAGUGGCCUCGGUGUUCAAACACCGCAACUAAUGAAGCAACGUUUAUGCACCAAUGCUAACAGGGUGUUCAUUUAAAAAGGACGUGCAUUUAAAUUGUAUCACAAAUAUUUAUGGUGAGAGGUGUCAGGACUUUUGGGGCAAAACAUGGGUGGAUCACUGUUUAUAAAUUGUAUGCAUCUUUGUAAGUUGCUCUCUAUAGUUUAUUGUGAUGUUUAUGAAAUGUAUUUUCUCUCUAGGAAUGUGCACCUGGAGGGGAGAUGAUUGACCAGCAGAUGCCAGUGUAUGACCAGAGCAAGGAGAAACGGAACAUCCUUCGCAUCAGAGACGAGAUCAAAAAAACCAGAAG